rnacentral:rRNA from 1 species
AGGCAGCAGUGGGGAAUAUUGGACAAUGGGCGAAAGCCUGAUCCAGCCAUGCCGCGUGAGUGAAGAAGGCCUUAGGGGUUGUAAAACUCUUUCAACUGUGAGGAUGAUGACAGUAGCAGUAGAAGAAGCACCGGCUAACUUCGUGCCAGCAGCCGCGGUAAUACGAAGGGUGCGAGCGUUGUUCGGAAUUACUGGGCGUAAAGGGCGUGUAGGCGGAUUGGCAAGAUAGAGGUGAAAGGCCUGGGCUCAACCUGGGAACUGCCUUUAUAACUUCCAGUCUAGAGAUCGAGAGAGGAUAGCGGAAUUCCUAGUGUAGAGGUGAAAUUCGUAGAUAUUAGGAAGAACACCAGUGGCGAAGGCGGCUAUCUGGCUCGAUACUGACGCUGAGGCGCGAAAGCGUGGGGAGCAAACAGGAUUAGAUACCCUGGUAG